rnacentral:piRNA from 1 species
UCCAAACAAGUCACUCAGGGUUGAGGAGA